CGGAAACGGGCGCUAAUACCGCAUACGUCCUGAGGGAGAAAGUGGGGGAUCUUCGGACCUCACGCUAUCAGAUGAGCCUAGGUCGGAUUAGCUAGUUGGUGGGGUAAAGGCCUACCAAGGCGACGAUCCGUAACUGGUCUGAGAGGAUGAUCAGUCACACUGGAACUGAGACACGGUCCAGACUCCUACGGGAGGCAGCAGUGGGGAAUAUUGGACAAUGGGCGAAAGCCUGAUCCAGCCAUGCCGCGUGUGUGAAGAAGGUCUUCGGAUUGUAAAGCACUUUAAGUUGGGAGGAAGGGCAGUAAGUUAAUACCUUGCUGUUUUGACGUUACCAACAGAAUAAGCACCGGCUAACUUCGUGCCAGCAGCCGCGGUAAUACGAAGGGUGCAAGCGUUAAUCGGAAUUACUGGGCGUAAAGCGCGCGUAGGUGGUUCAGCAAGUUGGAUGUGAAAUCCCCGGGCUCAACCUGGGAACUGCAUCCAAAACUACUGAGCUAGAGUACGGUAGAGGGUGGUGGAAUUUCCUGUGUAGCGGUGAAAUGCGUAGAUAUAGGAAGGAACACCAGUGGCGAAGG
rnacentral:rRNA from 1 species